GACGAACGCUGGCGGCGCGCUUAACACAUGCAAGUCGAGCGAGAACCGGGGCUUCGGCCCCGGGGACAGCGGCGAACGGGUGAGUAACACGUGGGUAAUCUGCCCUCGGCACCGGAAUAGCCCGGGGAAACCCGGAUUAAUGCCGGAUGGUCCCUUCACCCUGCGGGGUGGCGGGAAAAGGUAGCUUCGGCCUCCGGCCGAGGAUGAGCCCGCGGCGGAUUAGCUUGUUGGCGGGGUAACGGCCCACCAAGGCGACGAUCCGUAGCUGGUCUGAGAGGACGAUCAGCCACACUGGGACUGAGACACGGCCCAGACUCCUACGGGAGGCAGCAGUGGGGAACCUUGCGCAAUGGGCGAAAGCCUGACGCAGCGACGCCGCGUGCGGGAAGACGGCCUUCGGGUUGUAAACCGCUUUCAGGAGGGACGAAGCCACUCGGGUGAACAGCCCAGAGGGUGACGGUACCUCCAGAAGAAGCCCCGGCUAACUACGUGCCAGCCGCCGCAGUAAUAC
rnacentral:rRNA from 1 species